UACGUAGGGGGCGAGCGUUGUCCGGAAUUAUUGGGCGUAAAGAGCGUGUAGGCGGUUCGGUAAGUCCGCCGUGAAAACCUGGGGCUCAACCCUGGGCGUGCGGUGGAUACUGCUGGGCUAGAGGAUGGUAGAGGCGAGUGGAAUUCCCGGUGUAGCGGUGAAAUGCGCAGAUAUCGGGAGGAACACCAGUAGCGAAGGCGGCUCGCUGGGCCAUUCCUGACGCUGAGACGCGAAAGCUAGGGGAGCGAACAGG
rnacentral:rRNA from 1 species